UACGAAGGGUGCUAGCGUUGUUCGGAAUCACUGGGCGUAAAGCGCGCGUAGGCGGCAAUACAAGUCAGAGGUGAAAUCCCAGAGCUUAACUCUGGAAUUGCCUUUGAAACUGUGUUGCUAGAGUGUCGGAGGGGAUGGCGGAAUUGCUAAUGUAGAGGUGAAAUUCGUAGAUAUUAGCAGGAACACCGGUGGCGAAGGCGGCAUCCUGGACCGGUAUUGACGCUGAGGCGCGAAAGCCAGGGGAGCAAACGGG
rnacentral:rRNA from 1 species